UACCGGUGAAGAUGCCGGUUAAGUGCAGUUAGACGAAAAGACCCCGGAAGCUUUACUGUAAGUUGUUAUUGGCUUUAUGUUUUGGAUACGUAGCGUAGUGGGGAGGCUUUGAAGUUCCGCUCUCGGGCGGGAUGGAGCCGCCAAUGAAACACCCAUUUUUUAAAAUGUAAAAUCUAACCUGACACGCCAAACGUGCCGGGGACAGUAGCUGCUGGGCAGUUUGUGUGGGGCGCAAGCCUCCUAAAAAGUAACGGAGGCGUUUAUUAAGGUCGGCUUGGCGCGGAUGGACAUCGCGCUGGACCUGUAAGAGGAAAAGCCGGCUUGACUGGAAGGGGGACAUCCCGACCAGAUGGGAAACCAGAAUCUAGUGAACCGACCGUCGGCACUCGAUGCCGCGGAAGAUUAACGGAUAAAAGCUACUCCGGGGAUAAACCCUGAAAUAAGGGUUGUUGUCCUCUCUAUCAGCAAUGGUAGAGUAAGAAAUGCGGCUUAUAACGGUGAAGUGAGAACUGGUCUUUCCCGCAAGGGUUUUAAGGUUUUCAUAAUACCGUGGGAAGUCGGAAGUAUAAUUAAUUUCAUUUGUGAAAUUCAGCAAAGAACAAAAAGCGAUUUUGAUCGGAACAAUUUUGGGCGAUGCUUAUUUGCAGAAAACGGGCAAAAAAAAUGCCAGACUGCGAUUGGAGCAUGGCGGCAAACAGAAAGAUUAUUUAUUCUGGAAAGUCAGCCAAUUCCCAAAAUUAUUCCAAGGCGAGUCUAAAUAUUUAGAGCGCAAGCAUCCAAUCUCUGGCCAAACUUAUAAAUAUUGGCGCCACCAAUCUAAUUCCACGCCGGAAUUAGGAAAAUGGCAAGCCAAGUUUUACAAAAGCGGCAAAAAACACAUACCGAAUAACUUAAACGAUCUUUUGCAAGAUUCUUUAAGUUUGGCGGUGUGGUAUAUGGAUGACGGAUAUUAUUAUCCGCGCGAUAAAGUAAGUUAUUUAUAUUUAGGCAGAGUAUCAAAAAAUGAAGCCGAAAUUGCCCAAACAGCGCUUGAGAAAAAUUUCAAUAUUUUCUCUAAAGUGUUGGAUAAAAAGCAAAAGGGUUUCGCGCUUUAUUUUUCUCACAAUGAAACAAAAAAACUGCAUGGCAUGAUAAGACGAUACGCCUUGCCAAGCAUGCAGUAUAAAUUAAUUAAAUCUUCUUGACCCCGUAACGACUGAUCCCUUAAGUGGGUGAGAGCGGGCUUCGGCCUUGCUCAGACGCCGCAACCCAGCUCUAGUUUUGUGCAACAAAAAAGUUAGUAUUUUUUAGCGAAAUCUGGCAGUGAAAUAGCCAAUCUCUGGUUUAUGAGAUUCGACGGAAUCAACAAUUAAGCCAAGAAUUCCCCCUAAAAUAAUGAUAAAUUCCCGAAAGCUUCUCAAAUCAUCUAUAAAGGCAACUGGAUUUGAAAAGAUGAAAUUUAAGCUAUUUUCACAACUAACACCGCGAGACCAUCUUAUUUCUUUGCCAUUAUGCAUAAUUUUGAAUGUGCGAGUGGCCAUGUGAAAUACAAGACGAUCUCCAGAAACAAUCAAUGCCAUUUCCAGACCCCCUUUCGCUAAAGCGCUUUGUCUAUAUUGAAUGUAUCAUAUUAUAAUCAAUAUGUCAAGCUAAUUUUGUUGAUGCAUGAAACUAGGGCUGGGUGAAGAUAUAGUCUAUUCCGAUUCAAAAUCGUGAAUGAACAGGCUAGUUCCGUCCAAGAGUCCAUAUCGACGACGGAGUUCGGCACCUCGAUGUCGGCUCAUCUUAUCCUGGCGGUGGAGAAGCUGCCAAGGGUUUGGCUGUUCGCCAAUUAAAAAGGUACGUGAGCUGGGUUCAAACCGUUCAGAACAUGAAUCAUGGAACAUAAAAAAUGGAACAUGAGUCGCGUCUUGAACCGUUUGAACCCUUAAAGACAAAAACACGGCGGCAUUCCGAAGUGAUUUGGAAUGUAAAAUCGACUUAUAUCGGUGAAGUCCACUUGCGGUUGAACCUGCCGCAUGCUAGGAUAAUACCGAGGGAAGUUUAUUAAAUAAUCAAUAAUUAUGGAAAAUAUUGACAGAGAAGAAAAAACAACGCCAGAAACACUGGUUGAACAAUUUGAAGCAGAGGCAGAUCAGGUAAUGAGUUCUAUGCAGGAAGUCAGAAAUGAAGCUAAAAGUUUACUUGAACAAUUACGUCAGAGUGGUGAGGAAAACGCAGAUUCUGCAACAUCUGGAACAGGUGCUAAUGAGAUUAUAAAAAGAGGAAAAGAGCUAGUACAAUUGCAAAAACGCAUAACAGAUAAAAUGCGUGAACUUUCAUAAUUGAACUGAUCAUAAUUAAUCACACCCGUAGAGACUGAACGUCGAUACUCUCUAAAUUUUAGAGAAUAAGUUACAGUCCAAUGCACAUAGUAAUAUGUGGAAACAUGCGUGAGACAGGUUGGUCUCCUAUCUACUGCACUCGUUGAUUCUUGAGGGGGGUUCUCCCUAGUAAAAUAUUGCUACUUUCCCGAGCAAUCGGGAUUGACAAUGCGGCUCAUAACGGAGAAACCUAAUCCUUUGCAUUAAUAUUUUUCGGUCCGAAAUUUAUAAUGCGCUAAAGGAAGGUAACACCGUGGGAAGUCCUCUGUCCGAAACUUAGUUUCGGUCAUGACCCCGUAACGACUUGUUUCUGCUAUAACAGGACUUAGUUUCAAUGCCUUUGGUUGGAGCUAACACGCCGCCCCCGCCAACAACUAUACAGUUGCUGGCGGGUGAAGGUAUAGUCUGCGCUCAUAGAAAUAUGGGAAGUACGUGACGAGAGGACCGGGAGGAGGUGACCUCUGGUUUGCCUGCUGUCCUGCCAAGGGCACCGCAGGGUCGCUAUGUCGCUAAGUGAUAAGCGCUGAAAGCAUCUAAGCGCGAAGCACGCCCCAAGAUUAGGAAUCGAUCAGGUCAUCCGACCUGAUCGCCCGGUCGAAUGACCGGGUGAGAUCCGUGGAAGACUACCACGUUGAUAGGCUCUAGGUGUAAGAUCCGCAAGGAUUUCAGCCGUGGAGUACUAAUAGAUCAA
rnacentral:ncRNA from 1 species